CCGGCUUGCGGCCCAUUCCCCUCUCCUGCUCUCAAUCUGUCUUUGCACUGAACGCCAAGUUCUACAUGUUGUAUUUUCCCACCUGCUUUCCCCUCUAAAAUGUCAAUUUCAUAAAGUUACCACUGCAACACCCUCAUCAGACUCUCGGAGCUCCUGAGGGAAGCGCCCCAUCAGAGGGAGAGACAGAGGAGGAGGAGGAGGAGGAGGAAGAGGGGCCCCCUCUGGCGCAUUCUGAAGUGGCCUGAGCAAGCCCCAGGAUUCUGACAUCAACUGCUCUGUCGGGCCCCGGGGGGCUGGUGCCUUGUUCCCAGAGCUCCUUAGUCUGUGAGAUGCCUGAUUAGAAUAUUGGCCCAAUAUUCGUGGAUCCCGUGUUCUCUCCCCUUCCCACCCCUCCCCCAACUGCAUAAACAUCAUUAUUCCAUUGUUUUCCGCUGUUUGUAAAGUUUCUGGGGGAAAAGAGUAAGGCCAGCAUGCCUUUCGUUUUCUCUUUUGCGGAUGCCUUAGUUUUUGUAUUGGAGUGAGACUAGUCAUAACAUUUCCAGAAACAGAA